rnacentral:rRNA from 1 species
AGUGAACGCUGGCGGUAGGCCUAACACAUGCAAGUCGAACGGCAGCACAGUAAGAGCUUGCUCUUACGGGUGGCGAGUGGCGGACGGGUGAGGAAUACAUCGGAAUCUACUUUUUCGUGGGGGAUAACGUAGGGAAACUUACGCUAAUACCGCAUACGACCUACGGGUGAAAGCAGGGGAUCUUCGGACCUUGCGCGAUUGAAUGAGCCGAUGUCGGAUUAGCUAGUUGGCGGGGUAAAGGCCCACCAAGGCGACGAUCCGUAGCUGGUCCGAGGGGAUGAUCAGCCACACUGGAACUAGGACACGGGCCGAACACCUACGGGGGGCAGCGGUGGGGAAUAUUGGACAAUGGGCGCAAGCCUGAUCCGGCCAGACCGCGUGGGUGAAGAAGUCCUUCGGGUGGUAAAGCCCUUUUGUUGGGAAAGAAAAGCAGCAGGUUAAUACCCCGCUGUUCUGACGGUACCCAAAGAAUAAGCACCGGCUAACUUCGU